GCAGUGUUCUCCCCAGGGCGCCAGGCUUCCCCAGCUCCAAGUCUGGGCGUCUGAAAUCUGCUGUGUAAUUGGAUCACGCCCGGCCCGUGCUGAGCGCCCAUCUGCGCCCGUCUUGGAAAACACAAGUCUCAGAGAAGGAAAGCAGUUGCCACAGAAUCUGCAUCACAGAAGAUAUCCAGUUGGGCAAGACCCCGCCUCCCUGACAGGUGGCACAGGAGGGUGGUUGGAGCAGGAGGGUGGGAAGUGAUACGUGGAUCUUGGAAGAACAGCCUGGCUCUACCACUCGCCGUGUGUCUGUGGGUAUGUGAGUCCCCACUCUGUGCUGUGGCCUCCUCAUGCAGAGAAAGGAGCUGAUAAAAGUCACCGAGUUAAACUUAACACAAAGUGAGUUCAUGUGUGUGAACUCUCUCAAAAACGGUGCUGGCACACAGUAGGUGCUCAAGCAGCGCAAGCAUUUUACACAGUCACUGCCGUGGCUGUUCGGAGUCUUAUUUGCAGUCUGUAUCAUGCUGCUCAGCAGUUAAGCUUUUGUUGGAUCUGAGCUCUGUCUUAACAAAAGGGGACAGGACCCCCUUCCCUCUGCGGUCCUUCUGCCCAGGCAUGUGACGAAGGUGGUGAACUCAGCACUCACUGAACACCCGCCCAUCCCACCCCGGAUGGGGACUCUGGGGUGUGCAUCAGCAGUUUCAAGAAACACAGAAUGACCACCUGACCCAGCAAUUCCACUCCUAGGUAUGUACCCUAAGGAACUGAAAACGAAAACUGGUACAAAAACGUUUAUGUCGACAUUAUUCACAACCAUAAGUUAGAAACAGCCCAAGUGUCCCUGAACUAGUGAAUGGAUAAACUAAUUGUGGUCUAACCACAUGGUGGAACGUUAUUCACCCACAAACAGAAGGUAGUACGGACACAUGCUACCAUACGGAUGAACCUAAAGCACACGAUGCUGAAAGAAGCCAGACAAAAGGUUGCCUAGAGCAUGAUUCUGUGGGUGGAAAAUGCCCGGAACAGGCAGACCCAAGACCCAGAGGGGAUGAGUAUUUGCCUGGGGCUGGGAGGGAGAUGGAGAGUGAGUGCUAAUGGGUUUGAUGGUAAAUUUUAUGGUCUGUGUAUUUUACCACAAUAAAAAAGACAUACCCAAGUGAAAAAAAAAGUGUAUAAACACAUGACAAAAUGUAUUACUAACAGACACAUAUAAAGAAGUAAAAUUCCACAAAGAUAAGCCUUGUUAUGCGGACACUGUCUCCUGGUGGCAGCAUCCCUGGUUUUUUCUUUGGCUUCUCUGCAUUACCAAUUUUAUUUGUGUCUGACAUGAUUUACUCGAAACACAGUGAAAUAAUGCUAAUGUAAAAGCUGGCUAUCAGGCAGAUAUGGGGGUAAAGUUUACUCAAAAUUUCCUAGGACCAGGGGUACAAUUCCCCCUGUAAACCCCUCAGGAUUCCAGUGGGCCUGGGGAGAGAAGGCUGGCACCUUCCAGGGAAGGGCUGGCUUCUCACGCUCUCUCUGAUGUAAAUGAAUCCACCCCUCCACCUCCAUCAGCUUUUCAAGUUCAGGCCCUGAUGGAGAGGGGGAAGGGGUUUGGGAGGAAGGAGACCCUUG
rnacentral:lncRNA from 1 species